GCGCACCCGGCGAGAAAACCUUCGCAAUGCAGGAAAACUGCGACGAGGGAACUCCAAGUGCCUACGCUCAGCGUAGGCUGUUCUCAAGCCUAGAAAGCUUGAGGAGUAAGGGCUGGGUAAGACGGGUGCCAUCUGUGGUAGCAGUCAAUAGAUUCGAUUUGUUACUGCAAGGCAUAAGCCGCCGCGGUAAUACCCGCAGCCCAAGUGGUGGCCGCUUUUAUUGGGCCUAAAGCGUCCGUAGCCGGCCCGGUAAAUGCCUGGGUAAAUCGUGGAGCCCAACGUUCACGAAUUCCGGGUAGACUG
rnacentral:rRNA from 1 species